UACGUAGGGACCGAGCGUUGUCCGGAAUCAUUGGGCGUAAAGAGCGUGUAGGCGGCUAUUUAAGUCCUGCGUGAAAUCCUGCGGCUCAACCGCAGACGGUCGUGGGAAACUGGAUGGCUAGAGUGCGGGAGAGGAGAGUGGAAUUCCCGGUGUAGCGGUGAAAUGCGCAGAUAUCGGGAAGAACACCCGUGGCGAAGGCGGCUCUCUGGAACGGUACUGACGCUGAGACGCGAAAGCGUGGGGAGCAACAGG
rnacentral:rRNA from 1 species